GUCGUGGUAGUUUAAUAAAACAUUAGUCUGUGACACUAAAAAUGGAAAAUACCCCACAAC
rnacentral:tRNA from 1 species